GAGGAAAAUACCCUCUGUUUGGGUUCACUUAUUCUAUGGGAUUCAGCAGCCCAGGCAGUUUUCUCACCCCAUUGCGUUCAUUUUCCCUUGCUCACUGCAGGUCACCUGAGGCGUGUGUUCAGAGGUGCCGAUCCUGAGGUGAGUGAGAAAGGAACCUUUGAUAUUCCUGUUGUUGGAGAAUUGUGGAGCAAGCUGGGAGCUUGGCCUGUGGCAGCAGAGUGUAGGUGGCCAGCUGAGUAGGCUGAAAGGAAAUCCAUUUCCAUGUCUGCAGCAGUGAUAGCAAAGGCAUUGCUGCCUAUUUCCUCAUUUUCCACUUCAGUGCUUUAAAAGAACCAGAAGACCAGUUUUGCAGAGAGAACACUGCUUCUUGACAGUAGCCAGGGUGGGAGAUCUAAUUCAGACAAUUUGCAGUCCAGUUGAAUUAAGCCAUUUUCAUUUAGUUGGAGUGACUUAGAAUCCCACUGCUAUCAAAGUGGAUGAUUUGUCUUUAGUCGAGCUGGUUGUAGAAAUAGAGCAGAAUAGAAGUAAGGUUAUAAAUGAUAGGUAGCUGCCUGUCCCUAACACUACUAUCUCUGCACAGAGCCCAGAACCAACAGCAGACUCUUCUCUGGCUCCCUCUGCUCCUGGAGAAGAGGCCAAAGAGGAGCAAAAUGACCACGAGCCUCCAGCAGUGGUCACACCCCAGCCUGAACAUUCAGAGACUGUUGUUCUGGAGAAAGAGCAGGAGCAGAUUGAUUUGUCAGAGAUGCCAUGCCAGACUGAGGGAGAGCUGUUGCCAGCCCGAGAGCAGAAAGAGCAGCUUGGGCAGCAGGUGGAAGAGGCACUGGAGAAUGGCCAGAAUAUCAAGGCAGAGCCACAGGCAGAGUUGCCUGAAGCUCAGAGUGCCAUCGUGGCAGUGAAGAGGAGGCCCCAGGAAGACAUGAGGAACAUUCAAGAGGAGAUGACACUCUAUCGGCAGAGAAGAGAUCAACAAAACAAGGUGAGUGAUAGAGUGGCAGCCACUCCACUCAUCAAGCUGUCUCUCUCAUGUGUUUUAGAGGACAGCAAGGAAAAUCUCCAGGCAGAGAUGCAGGAUAUUCGGGCUAGGAUCAAGGAAAGGGAGAAGAGGCUGGAGGAAGAAAUGAAGAUGGUGGAAGAGGAAAUCAAUCACCUGAUUCAGGAGAAGAAUUUUCUACAUAAACAAGUGGAAAGGAGUGUUGACAUCUCACCUGGCAGCCUGGGAAGGCUUCCAGCAAAUGACUGGUGAUGAGGAGCCCCAAGGUGCGUGAGGCACAGCAACUGUCCCAAGCAGAGAUGCUGAAGGUUGAGCAUGUCUCAAAGAUGGAGGAAAAGUGGACUCAUUGUGAGGAGGUACAACAUUUGAACAAGGAUCUGCAAAUGUGUCUGCAGUCUUUGGAGGGGGAAAGGGAUCCUUGGGAGGAAGUGGAAUGGUCAUUGUUGCAGUCAUCCUUCAGAAAAUCCAUGAAAAUGGAAUAUGAAACUGGCUAUGAACUCAAUUAAAACCAACUUCUGGUUUUGACCAUUUGGUUUCAGAAGCAGGUGUCCAAAAUAAUCCAGUUUAUGAGCUUGGCAUGUGGCUAAGAGCAACUUCUUACGGGCUUGAAUUUGAAAAGGGUACUCGGGGUAAUCUCUGCCAUUCACUUUUC
rnacentral:lncRNA from 1 species